rnacentral:lncRNA from 1 species
UCAGGGGAAUUUAACUUCACUUAUUCAUUUCACUGUGCUGUGGCAGCACAAGGCUGGGCUGGAUGGAUGGAUGGAUGGAUGGAUGGAUGGAUGGAUGAUGGAUGAUGGAUGGAUGGAUG